AAAGCAAAAGCUUGCUUUCAUUAUAAAUGUAGGAAUUUCGGACGCGGGUUCAACUCCCGCCAGCUCCACCA
rnacentral:tRNA from 1 species